rnacentral:rRNA from 1 species
UGGGGAAUUUUGGACAAUGGACGCAAGUCUGAUCCAGCCAUGCCGCGUGCGGGAAGAAGGCCUUCGGGUUGUAAACCGCUUUUGUCAGGGAAGAAACGAGUUUCUCUAAUACAGAGACUUAAUGACGGUACCUGAAGAAUAAGCACCGGCUAACUACGUGCCAGCAGCCGCGGUAAUACGUAGGGUGCAAGCGUUAAUCGGAAUUACUGGGCGUAAAGCGUGCGCAGGCGGUUUAGUAAGACAGGCAUGAAAUCCCCGGGCUCAACCUGGGAACUGCGCUUGUGACUGCUAAGCUAGAGUACGGCAGAGGGGGGUGGAAUUCCACGUGUAGCAGUGAAAUGCGUAGAUAUGCGGAGGAACACCGAUGGCGAAGGCAAUCCCCUGGACCUGUACUGACGCUCAUGCACGAAAGCGUGGGGAGCAAACA